AAGCUGUUAUUUACAUAGAUUCUGUCCCCAGGCUCAACCCCUCUGCCCCCCGAAAAAUUGUCCAGUGGUGGACUAGUUGAGCUCUUCUCACUGUCUGAGAACACUUUUGGGUCCAAUUGCAGAAGUGAGAUCACUGAGCCGUAAAUACAUGGAAGCCUUUGUAGGACACAGCAGAGGAGACGGGGCUCGGGAGCAGCUCUUAGAGCGGGUGGAGUGUGCACACGU
ensembl:lncRNA